rnacentral:rRNA from 1 species
AUUGAACGCUGGCGGCAUGCUUUACACAUGCAAGUCGAACGGCAGCGCGGGCUUCGGCCUGGCGGCGAGUGGCGAACGGGUGAGUAAUGCAUCGGAACGUGCCCAGUAGUGGGGGAUAGCCCGGCGAAAGCCGGAUUAAUACCGCAUACGACCUGAGGGUGAAAGCGGGGGACCGAAAGGCCUCGCGCUAUUGGAGCGGCCGAUGUCGGAUUAGCAAGUUGGUGGGGUAAAGGCUUACCAAGGCGACGAUCCGUAGCUGGUCUGAGAGGACGACCAGCCACACUGGAACUGAGACACGGCCCAGACUCCUACGGGAGGCAGCAGUGGGGAAUUUUGGACAAUGGGGGCAACCCUGAUCCAGCCAUGCCGCGUGCGGGAAGAAGGCCUUCGGGUUGUAAACCGCUUUUGUUCGGGAAGAAAUACUCUGGGCUAAUACCCCGGGGGGAUGACGGUACCGGAAGAAUAAGCACCGGCUAACUACGUG